rnacentral:rRNA from 1 species
GACGAACGCUGGCGGCGUGCUUAACACAUGCAAGUCGAACGGUAAGGCCCUUCGGGGUACACGAGUGGCGAACGGGUGAGUAACACGUGGGUGAUCUGCCCUGCACUUCGGGAUAAGCCUGGGAAACUGGGUCUAAUACCGGAUAGGACCACUGCCUGCAUGGGUGGUGGUGGAAAGCUUUUGCGGUGUGGGAUGGGCCCGCGGCCUAUCAGCUUGUUGGUGGGGUGAUGGCCUACCAAGGCGACGACGGGUAGCCGGCCUGAGAGGGUGACCGGCCACACUGGGACUGAGAUACGGCCCAGACUCCUACGGGAGGCAGCAGUGGGGAAUAUUGUACAAUGGGCGCAAGCCUGAUGCAGCGACGCCGCGUGAGGGAUGACGGCCUUCGGGUUGUAAACCUCUUUCAGCACCGACGAAGCGCAAGUGACGGUAGGUGCAGAAGAAGGACCGGCCAACUACGUGCCAGCCGCCGCCGUAAGAC